rnacentral:rRNA from 1 species
UUCUGGUUGAUCCUGCCGGAGGCUACCGCUAUUGGAGUUCGAUUAAGCCAUGCGAGUCGCGAGAAAUUAGAUUCUCGGCGUACCGCUCAGUAACACGUGGGUAACCUGCCCUAUGCUGGAUAAUAACCUCGGGAAACUGAGAAUAAUGAUCCAUAGUUCACUACGCCUGGAACGGUGAGUGGAUGAAAGCUCCGGCGGCAUAGGAUGGGCCUGCGGCGUAUCAGGUUGUAGGGGGUGUAACGUACCCUCUAGCCCUCUACGCGUACGGGUGUUGGGAGACAUAGCCCGGAGAUGGAUUCUGAGACACGAAUCCAGACCCUACGGGGUGCAGCAGGCGCGAAAACUUGGCAAUGCGAGAAAUCGUGACCAGGGAACUCCAAGUGCAUCGGGUAAGACCGGUGCUUUUCUUGACUCUAAAUAGGUCUUGGAAUAAGGGGUGGGUAAGGACGGUGCCAGCCGCCGCGGUAAUACCGGCGCCUCAAGUGGUAGUCGCUUUUAUUGGGCCUAAAACGUCCGUAGCCGGUCUGAUACAUUCGUGGGUAAAUCAACCAGCUCAACUGGUUGAAUUCUGCGAGGACGGUCAGACUUGGGACCGGGAGAGGUGUGGGGUACGCUCAGGGUAGGGGUAAAAUCCUGUCAUCCUGAGCGGACCACCUGUUGCGAAGGCGCCACACUAGAACGGAUCCGACGGUCAGGGACGAAGCCUAGGGCACGAACCGGAUUAGAUACCCGGGUAGUCCUAGGUGUAAACGCUGUGGACUUGA